rnacentral:rRNA from 1 species
AACGAACGCUGGCGGCAUGCCUAACACAUGCAAGUCGAACGAGACCUUCGGGUCUAGUGGCGCACGGGUGCGUAACGCGUGGGAACCUGCCCUUAGGUUCGGAAUAACUCCCCGAAAGGGGUGCUAAUACCGGAUAAUGUCUUCGGACCAAAGAUUUAUCGCCUUUGGAUGGGCCCGCGUUGGAUUAGCUAGUUGGUAGGGUAAAAGCCUACCAAGGCGACGAUCCAUAGCUGGUCUGAGAGGAUGGUCAGCCACACUGGGACUGAGACACGGCCCAGACUCCUGCGGGAGGCAGCAGUGGGGAAUAUUGGACGAUGGGCGAAAGCCUGAGCCAGCAGUGCCGCGAGAGUGAUGAAGGCCUUAGGGUUGUAAAGCUCUUUUACCCGGGAUGAUAAUGACAGUACCGGGAGAAUAAGCUCCGGCUAACUCCGU